AGCUCCAAUAGCGUAUAUUAAAGUUGUUGCAGUUAAAAAGCUCGUAGUUGGAUUUCUGGUUUGAGCGUCCGGUCGACCUUGUGUCUGUACUAUGGAUGUUUGGGCCAUAUUUUGUGAGGAUGCCUUUCUGCCAUUGAGUUGGUGGUUGGGUGGACUUGCAUCGUUUACUGUGAAAAAAUUAGAGUGUUUAAAGCAGGCGUUUGCUCAUUUGAAUACAUUAGCAUGGAAUAAUAAGAUACGACCUUGGUGGUCUAUUUUGUUGGUUUGCACGCCAGGGUAAUGAUUAAUAGGGACAGUUGGGGGUAUUCAUAUUUCAACGUCAGAGGUGAAAUUCUUGGAUCGUUGAAAGAUGAGCUUAGGCGAAAGCAUUUACCAAGGAUGUUUUCA
rnacentral:rRNA from 1 species